rnacentral:tRNA from 5 species
GCCCCUUUAGCUCAGUCGGCAGAGCAUCUCCAUGGUAAGGAGAAGGUCUACGGUUCGAUUCCGUAAAGGGGCU